rnacentral:rRNA from 1 species
GACGAACGCUGGCGGCGUGCUUAACACAUGCAAGUCACGGGGGUCCCGCAAGGGAUAACCGGCGAACGGGUGCGUAACACGUGAACAACCUGCCCUCGUGUGGGGGAUAGCCGGGCUAACGCCCGGGUAAUACCGCAUACGGUCCUUUGGGGGAGUCCCUGGGGGAAGAAAGCUCCGGCGCACGGGGAGGGGUUCGCGGCCUAUCAGCUAGUUGGUUGGGGUAAUGGCCCACCAAGGCGACGACGGGUAGCUGGUCUGAGAGGAUGGCCA